rnacentral:sRNA from 1 species
UACUGAUUUCAAUUCGCUAGGUACAUGA